GCAUAAGCCUACAGCUCGGCAUCGAGCAGAGGGAAAAGGAGCAAUCCGCUUUGAGAUGGCCUCGCGUCCGAUUAGCUGGUUGGUGAGGUAACGGCCCACCAAGGCGACGAUCGGUAGCCGGACUGAGAGGUUGAACGGCCACAUUGGGACUGAGACACGGCCCAGACUCCUACGGGAGGCAGCAGUGGGGAAUAUUGCACAAUGGGGGAAACCCUGAUGCAGCGACGCCGCGUGGAGGAAGAAGGUCUUCGGAUUGUAAACUCCUGUUGUUGAGGAAGAUAAUGACGGUACUCAACAAGGAAGUGACGGCUAACUACGUGCCAGCAGCCGCGGUAAAACGUAGGUCACAAGCGUUGUCCGGAAUUACUGGGUGUAAAGGGAGCGCAGGCGGGAAGGCAAGUUGGAAGUGAAAUCCAUGGGCUCAACCCAUGAACUGCUUUCAAAACUGUUUUUCUUGAGUAGUGCAGAGGUAGGCGGAAUUCCCGGUGUAGCGGUGGAAUGCGUAGAUAUCGGGAGGAACACCAGUGGCGAAGGCGGCCUACUGGGCACCAACUGACGCUGAGGCUCGAAAGUGUGGGUAGCAAACAGGAUUAGAUACCCUGGUAGUCCACACUGUAAACGAUGAUUACUAGGUGUUGGAGGAUUGACCCCUUCAGUGCCGCAGUUAACACAAUAAGUAAUCCACCUGGGGAGUACGACCGCAAGGUUGAAACUCAAAGGAAUUGACGGGGGCCCGCACAAGCAGUGGAGUAUGUGGUUUAAUUCGACGCAACGCGAAGAACCUUACCAAGUCUUGACAUCCUGCGACGGUGCUGGAAACAGUACUUUCCUUCGGGACGCAGAGACAGGUGGUGCAUGGUUGUCGUCAGCUCGUGUCGUGAGAUGUUGGGUUAAGUCCCGCAACGAGCGCAACCCUUAUGGUCAGUUACUACGCAAGAGGACUCUGGCCAGACUGCCGUUGACAAAACGGAGGAAGGUGGGGAUGACGUCAAAUCAUCAUGCCCUUUAUGACUUGGGCUACACACGUACUACAAUGGCGUUAAACAAAGAGAAGCAAGACCGCGAGGUGGAGCAAAACUCAGAAACAACGUCCCAGUUCGGACUGCAGGCUGCAACUCGCCUGCACGAAGUCGGAAUUGCUAGUAAUCGCAGAUCAGCAUGCUGCAGUGAAUACGUUCCCGGGCCUUGUACACACCGCCCGUCACACCAUGAGAGCCGGGGGGACCCGAAGUCGGUAGUCUAACCGCAAGGAGGACGCCGCCGAAGGUAAAACUGGUGAUUGGGGUGAAGUCGAAACAAGGUA
rnacentral:rRNA from 1 species